GAUGAACGCUGGCGGCGUGCCUAAUACAUGCAAGUCGAGCGAACAGACGAGGAGCUUGCUCCUCUGACGUUAGCGGCGGACGGGUGAGUAACACGUGGAUAACCUACCUAUAAGACUGGGAUAACUUCGGGAAACCGGAGCUAAUACCGGAUAAUAUAUUGAACCGCAUGGUUCAAUAGUGAAAGACGGUUUUGCUGUCACUUAUAGAUGGAUCCGCGCCGCAUUAGCUAGUUGGUAAGGUAACGGCUUACCAAGGCAACGAUGCGUAGCCGACCUGAGAGGGUGAUCGGCCACACUGGAACUGAGACACGGUCCAGACUCCUACGGGAGGCAGCAGUAGGGAAGCUUCCGCAAUGGGCGAAAGCUUGACGGAGCAACGCCGCGUGGGUGAUGAAGGUCUUCGGAUCGUAAAACUCUGUUAUUAGGGAAGAACAAAUGUGUAAGUAACUAUGCACGUCUUGACGGUACCUAAUCAGAAAGCCACGGCUAACUACGUG
rnacentral:rRNA from 1 species